rnacentral:rRNA from 1 species
AGUGGCGCACGGGUGAGUAACACGUAGGUAAUUUACCUUUGGGUGGGGAAUAACAGUCGGAAACGACUGCUAAUACCGCAUAAUGCAGCGGCUCGACAUCGAGACAGUUGUUAAAGCGGGGGAUCGCAAGACCUCGCGCCUGAAGAGAAGCCUGCGGCAGAUUAGCUUGUUGGUAGGGUAAUGGCCUACCAAGGCGACGAUCUGUAGCCGGCCUGAGAGGGCGGUCGGCCACAUUGACACUGAAUAACGGGUCAGACUCCUACGGGAGGCAGCAGUCGGGAAUUUUGGGCAAUGGGCGAAAGCCUGACCCAGCAACGCCGCGUGAAGGAUGAAAUUUUUCGGAAUGUAAACUUCGCAAGAAUGGGAAGAAUAAGUUUAGGCUAAUACCCUGAAUGAUGACGGUACCAUUUGUAAGCUCCGGCUAACUCCGUGCCAGCAGCCGCGGUAAUACGGGGGGAGCAAGCGUUGUUCGGAUUUACUGGGCGUAAAGGGCGCGUAGGCGGCGUGGUAAGUCACUUGUGAAAUCUCCGGGCUUAACUCGGAACGGUCAAGUGAUACUGCUGCGCUAGAGUGCGGAAGGGGCAACUGGAAUUCUUGGUGUAGCGGUGAAAUGCGUAGAUAUCAAGAGGAACACCUGCGGCGAAGGCGGGUUGCUGGGCCGACACUGACGCUGAGGCGCGAAAGCUAGGGGAGCGAACGGGAUUAGAUACCCCGGUAGUCCUAGCCUU